rnacentral:rRNA from 1 species
UACGUAGGCAGCGAGCGUUGUUCGGAGUUACUGGGCGUAAAGGGUGUGUAGGCGGUUUGGUAAGUCUGGUGUGAAAUCUCCCGGCUCAACUGGGAGGGUGCGCCGGAAACUGGAGUGCUCGAGCGUGGGAGAGGAAAGCGGAAUUCCUGGUGUAGCGGUGAAAUGCGUAGAUAUCAGGAGGAACACCUGCGGUGUAGACGGCUUUCUGGACCAUAGCUGACGCUGAGACACGAAAGCGUGGGUAGCAAACAGG